GGUUGUGGCUCAGCGGUAGAGCGCUCACCCCUCAAGUGUGAGACCUGGGUUCGAUCCCCAGCACCA
rnacentral:tRNA from 1 species